rnacentral:rRNA from 1 species
GGUGGAUUAGUGGCGAACGGGUGAGUAACACGUGGGCAAUCUGCCCUUCACUCUGGGACAAGCCCUGGAAACGGGGUCUAAUACCGGAUAACACCGGCUUCCGCAUGGGAGCUGGUUGAAAGCUCCGGCGGUGAAGGAUGAGCCCGCGGCCUAUCAGCUUGUUGGUGGGGUAAUGGCCUACCAAGGCGACGACGGGUAGCCGGCCUGAGAGGGCGACCGGCCACACUGGGACUGAGACACGGCCCAGACUCCUACGGGAGGCAGCAGUGGGGAAUAUUGCACAAUGGGCGAAAGCCUGAUGCAGCGACGCCGCGUGAGGGAUGACGGCCUUCGGGUUGUAAACCUCUUUCAGCAGGGAAGAAGCGAAAGUGACGGUACCUGCAGAAGAAGCGCCGGCUAACUACGUGCCAGCAGCCGCGGUAAUACGUAGGGCGCAAGCGUUGUCCGGAAUUAUUGGGCGUAAAGAGCUCGUAGGCGGCUUGUCACGUCGGGUGUGAAAGCCCGGGGCUUAACCCCGGGUCUGCAUCCGAUACGGGCAGGCUAGAGUGUGGUAGGGGAGAUCGGAAUUCCUGGUGUAGCGGUGAAAUGCGCAGAUAUCAGGAGGAACACCGGUGGCGAAGGCGGAUCUCUGGGCCAUUACUGACGCUGAGGAGCGAAAGCGUGGGGAGCGAACAGGAUUAGAUACCCUGGUAGUCCACGCCGUAAACGUUGGGAACUAGGUGUUGGC